rnacentral:hammerhead_ribozyme from 1 species
AUCCAGUUGAAGCGUCCCAAAACAGGACGAAAUCCGCAUCCUGAAU